rnacentral:rRNA from 1 species
UACGUAGGGGGCAAGCGUUGUCCGGAAUCAUUGGGCGUAAAGCGUGCGCAGGCGGUCUGCUAAGAGAGGUGUGAAAUCCCCGGGCUUAACCUGGGAACUGCGCUUCUAACUGGCAGGCUUGAGUGUGGCAGAGGGGGGUGGAAUUCCACGUGUAGCAGUGAAAUGCGUAGAGAUGUGGAGGAACACCGAUGGCGAAGGCAGCCCCCUGGGCUAACACUGACGCUCAUGCACGAAAGCGUGGGGAGCGAACAGG